rnacentral:lncRNA from 1 species
CCUACUUUUGUGGAUGAACAUCCCUGACAAGGUGGUGCUAUCUGUGAAAGAGAGUCUCCACGCAUAUUCUGACCUGUAUCCAGGUCCAGUGCAGCAGUGGCCCCCCACCCACCCUUGCUCCAUGGCACUCACAAUUCCUGGUGUGCUUUGGGCACUGGGCAUCAGGGACAGAUGUAUAGGACAGCAAGACACAAGGGCGAGACUCUAUGUUUCAUAAGGUAGAAAUCAAAAAAUUUUGACACUUAGUUUACCUCAGAGAAAAAAGAAAACAGUGAGCUUUCCAAGGGUCG